CCUACGGGUGGCAGCAGUGAGGAAUAUUGGUCAAUGGACGCAAGUCUGAACCAGCCAAGUAGCGUGCAGGAUGCCGGCCCUCCGGGUUGUAAACUGCUUUUAGUUGGGAAUAAAAGGGGGCUCGUGAGCCCCGUAUGGUAUGUACCAUCAGAAAAAGGACCGGCUAAUUACGUGCCAGCAGGCGCGGUAAUACGGAGGGUCCGGGCGUUAUCCGGAUUGAUUGGGUUUAAAGGGGGCGUAGGCCGGCUUUUAAGUCAGCUGUGAAAGUCCGGGGCUCAACCGGGGAAUUGCAGUUGAAACUGGAGGCCUUUAGUGCACACAGGGAUGCCGGAAUUCAUGGUGUAGCGGUGAAAUGCUUAGAUAUCAUGAAGAACACCGAUGGCGAAGGCAAGUGUCCGGGGUGCAACUGACGCUGAGGCUCGAAAGUGCGGAUAUCAAACAGGAUUAGAUACCCUUGUAGUC
rnacentral:rRNA from 1 species